UCCUGGCUCAGGAUGAACGCUGGCGGCGUGCUUAACACAUGCAAGUCGAACGGGAAUUACAUUUUAGCUUGCUAAGUUGUAAUUCUAGUGGCGGACGGGUGAGUAACGCGUGGGUAACCUGCCUUAUACCGGGGGACAACAGUUGGAAACGACUGCUAAUACCGCAUAAGCGCACAGAUAGGCAUCUAUCAGUGUGAAAAACUCCGGUGGUAUAAGAUGGACCCGCGUCUGAUUAGCCAGUUGGCGGUGUAACGGACCACCAAAGCGACGAUCAGUAGCCGGCCUGAGAGGGCAAACGGCCACAUUGGGACUGAGACACGGCCCAAACUCCUACGGGAGGCAGCAGUGGGGAAUAUUGCACAAUGGAGGAAACUCUGAUGCAAGCGACGCCGCGUGAGUGAAGAAGUAUUUCGGUAUGUAAAGCUCUAUCAGCAGGAAAGAAAAUGACGGUACCUGACUAAGAAGCCCCGGCUAACUACGUGCCAGCAGCCGC
rnacentral:rRNA from 1 species